CCUGGUGGUUAUGGCGGGGAGUCAACACCCGAUCCCUUUCCGAACUCGGUCGUGAAAACCCCCAGCGCCGAUGGCACUGCGUCUUAAGGCGUGGGAGAGUAGGUCGCUGCCAGGC
rnacentral:rRNA from 3 species